GUCAGAUGAAGUCAUGAGGACCAGGCCCUCAUGAGGAGAUUAGGGCUUUUAUAUAAGACGAAGAAGAUCUCUCUUCCUUUCUCUGAGCCAUGUGGAGGCACAGUGAGAAGUCAUCCAGCUACAAGCCAGGAAGAAAAUCCUCACCAGAUCCUGAUGCUGUAACCUUAAUGCUAGACUUCUAACCGCUGGACUAUAAGAAAUUCCACUGUCCAACUUACCAAAUAUGGUAUUUUGCUGUGACUGUCUGAGCUAAGACAGAUGUGUAUUUCUUUCAAAGGGACAGCUCUUUACAGAGGCCCAGAAAGGAGCUUGGUGGCCACAGAUGAGCAUGGAGAGGGAAGGUUUUCCUCACCCUAGACCUUCACAAAAGAUGGAAGACAAACAACAGAGUGUCCCUUCUCCCAACCUUGUCUAAUCUUUUCAUAAUUCAAGAUCGGAAAGCUGCUGUAACCCUGGCCUCUGUGCUGUACUCAUUCCCAUGUGUGCUUGGCAGAGCAAACAGUUCCAUUUCCCAGGACGCCAGUGAGCAGGGACCUGACUGCCCGGCUUUGGAGAACCCUAAGGGAUCUAUUAGGGGAAAGACAUAGACAUCUGCAUGCGGAUGCACGUAUGUUUGCACAAAUACUCCUCCAGCUCAGGACAGUGCUUACUGAAUCCUUGGAGGUGAGUUUAUCCCCCACCCCUCGUGCUUCCGCUACACUCUGUACUUGCUCUGUACUAUGUGC
rnacentral:lncRNA from 1 species